GCCAUAGCGAGGUCAUGACAUUAAUUUAUCCAAAGUAUUGUGGGCAACUGUCUAGAAAAAUAAAUAGCAUAAAGGACACACAUGCCAGAGAGCUAAAAAAGAAAAAAAAAAGUUGAGUCUGAGCAAAGAGAGAUUAAGAGAUGACCAAUUUAUUUAAUCCACAUAGAACAGGAAGAAGUCAGCAGGUGUCUCAAUGUUAAUGACAAGUAUUUUAAGCUAUGCUGCGCAUGCGUUGAUUUUUGCUUUAGUUUUUCAUUAGAUUCUAAGCUUGUUGAAUACUACUCCUGUUCUUCCAUGUCAGAAACUUAAUUUCAUAUUUUCUUGUUGCUUCAAUGCUUAGGGAUUCUUUGCUAUCUGUUUCUUUCUCUCCUUUUUCAUUCUUCCUUUCCCUCUUCCCAUUUCUGUGCUUCCCUUUCUUCUUCCCUCUGUUAUUAUUUUCCUUCUUGCCUUUCUCUCUCAUGAGAGUAUAUUCUUAAUUCUGUUUCCUUCUGGUGCCAACUUCUUUUUCUAUUUUUGUUGUUGCAUUUGAGAGGUUUCUUUUUCCUUUUGCUUUCAAAUCAGGAGCCUGUAGGAACUGAUCUUAGAGAUACAUACCCUACUACCGAUGCUUCUAUCUCUUUAUAGGUUGUGUGAUGUUUUCUUUGGAACCUCUGCGAAUGGUUGUCCUUCUUGUUUGUUGCCACAGAUCUGUUGCCAAUCUGCUACCUUAGUUGAGCCUGCAGUGCGCACUGCAUGCUGGGAUCUGUCUGUGUGAGUAAACUGAAAUUUCCACAGCACCAGACAGCAUUAGAGUUGGCUUGAGAAUUGCCGUACUUUGCUUCCCUUUGUAUGUAUUUCUUGUAUGCUGCAGAGUCACUGAUGGCUAGCUCUGUCUGGCAAGUAAUUCAGAAAUGCUGUUCAUGUAGAAAGGAAAGGUAGGCACUUUACCACACUCUGUCAUUAAAGGGAGCAAUUGAAGAACAAAGGAACUGAGUAAAUACCUAUAUAUUGCCUUUUGUGUUGUGAAACACUGUAGCACAAACACAUUUGUGUUCAGCCAAAUGUUUUACUUCCUUUUGUAAUAACGCGUAUAGUAGGUUGUCUCCACAUAUGUACAAGAAUCCAUAUUUUAUUUAAACGUAUAUAGUCAAUUGUUCAUCUUUAUAGGCUGCAAACAUGUCUCAGUCUCAAAGACUUUUACAUAUCCACUCCCACACAGCUAUUUGUUAUUAUUUUAAAAGUUCUUAAAUUAAAAAAAAUAAAAUAUACUACUAAUAUCCCUGUUGGUUGAUUUUAUUAAGCAACUUAGGAUUUCAACACAGUUUAAAUCAUAUUGAUGACUCAGAUCCUGGCAGGUCUUACAAUUCCUGUGAAAUGAGAGCACAGCUAAUAAAAAUAUUAAGCAAUUACUUUUAUUAAAAUCAUAGGGUUUUUUUUCAUUAUCACAUAGAAAUGAUUGAUCUAUACAGAUUGGUCUCACUCAUGUGUCUUUUGGGCUGCUUGAGGGCUUCAUAUAGAAGUGGAAAGUCCCCUUUGCUCUUGCUUCGACCAAGGUGGGGAAAAUGAAGGCACAGAAUACAAUCUAGGGCUAUUAAAGAAUUGCUGGCAUUACUUCUCUCUAUCACGUGUGAGCCUGGCUGCCUGCUUCCUGAGGUAGGGGAUCCAGGAUGAGACUGUGCCGGAGCCUGUUUCCACAACUGCAUUUGGAGAUCCGUCUUAUUGAUUGGGGGGGGAAAGGGGUGGGGAUCAGGAGUGUGAGGUGAGGGGAGGACCAUCUGACGACUGGCUCAAUGAAGCACAAGACAUUUUCUUCCGGAAAGAUGUCAAACAACUGAGAAACAGCCAGAGAGGAAGUAGAAAGGUGGAAAAAUGAGGAGACCCUGGAAGAAAUGAAGGCAUUUCCUAUGAGACAGCCUUGGGGCUUUUUUCUUUUCUUUCUUUUUUUUUCCUUCCAUCAUCUGACCUGCAAAGGCUAGAGUGACAGCGUCAUGCAAAUGCUGCAGUCCAGCAGGUCUGGGAGAGGGUGGAUGCUAGACUGUGAGUUAAUGUUAAUGAUGAGCGCAGUGAAAAUACCAGCCGCUGCCACCCCCUGCUCACAGAAGCGCUCUGAGUCAGCAUCAGAUGCUUUGCCUCGCCUCUCGCUGUGUGUCUGUAUGCCUGUGUGCGCGCGCGUGCUCGCUCGGGCAUCCGUGUCUAGCCGAGGGGAGGGGGUGGCGUGUGAGUGCGUGGAGGGUAAAAGCCAGUCAGUCAGUGAGAAGCAAAGAUCAACCACCUCAGAAGAGCCAGAUUCCACUUCUGUGGCCAGGACUUUUAUAUUAUGGCUGGUCCGAUUGUUUUACCCUGCGUUCUAUGCUACUAAACCUUGGAUCAUUCCUAAAGUACAAAUUCUGUUCUCGAACCACAAACAAGGCUAAAAGAUCGGAGGAAAUUCAGUGAAUAUACAGGAUUGGGGUGUCUGAUGAUUUGUGAGCCUCAAGUGACUACUCUCUGGAAUCAUCUGUCCUUGCCUUUGAAUUAGCUUUCCCUAGGCCAUGAGUCAACAUUAGUAGUUUACACAUCCAAAUUGAUGACAGGAGCACCUCAAAGGCAGCAGCCUCAAGGAGCAGCCAUGGCCCCAGAGUUUUCCCACAGAUGCAGAAAACUUAAUGGAGGAGGCUGAGGUCAGAAUGGGAAGAGUUUUUAAAAAGUAAAAAGGGGAGCUAAUAUGUGAGGAACUGAUUGCUGUGCAUUAUUUUCCACUGAACAGACCUUCUUUUAACUUCUAAUCUCAAGCACAUAGCAGCUGUUGUUUUCAUAUUAAAGAUCAGUAAGUGUUUGUUGAAUGAAUGUAUAAAUUCUUUCCCAAUCUCUGUUCCAUGUAAUAAAAACUAAGUUAGCAUUCAAUUAUAAAGAGGACUUAGAAAGACUGCAGGCAUUUUUGAUAAAACAAAAAUCCUUUUAACUGUCUUCUCAUGGUUCCCGGUAACACCUAAGCCCAAAAAACUGAGGUCAUUUCUUGCCUGUACUGUUGCAAUAGCCUCAUAAUAACUAGUCUUCCCCUUUAUAAACCACAGUCGUCUCCACUACACAAAGAAGAGAGGGUGCUAAUCUAAAGUGUAAAUUAUUUUAAAUCAGCACCCUCCUUGUAAUUUCCCAGUGGUUUUUCCUGUCAUAAGAAUAACAUGCAAAAUUCCUUGCUUGCAAAGCCAGGUAUGACCUUGCCCCUGUCUACCUUACUGGCAUCGUCUCUCAUGACUCUCCCCCUUUUUCACUCUCCAUCUUGCCUUUUCCCAACCAUGCCUGCUAGUGAGCCUCAGCCCUUGUCUUCUCUCUGCCAGGGAUGCACGACUGGCUUCUUUACUUUAUUCUGAUCUCUCUGCUCAAAUGUCAUCUUUUUAGAGAUACCUUUCCUAAACAUCUUUAAAAGUACCCCAUUAACUGUGGAACACCUUUCCUGCUUUAAGUUUUCUUCAUAGUACUUAUCACUUCCUGAUAUUAUGUUAGACAACAAGCAAAUAAGUAUAUGCAUAUAUGCUGUUCCCACUAAAAUAUAAGCUCCAUCUGAACAGGAGCCUUGAUUAUUCCUGAGUAUACCCCUAGUGCCCAGAACCUAGUAGGGCUUUAAUAAAUAUUAGAUUCAUUUGUUGAAUGAAAAAAUGAAUGAAUAAUUGAAUAAAGAUAUCCAGGUAGAAUGUCUGGGCAGCCCAACCUAUGUGAAGCCAGUACAAGAAUGUUUCUGUGACAUAAUGAAUGCAAUUAUUCCUCUAAAUGAUGAACUUGAAUGAGUACACGAGGAUAAAAUUAAGCAUGUAGUUUAGAUUUCUGCAAGUCUCUCCCUCAGAUUGAGGAAAAACAAAGAAAUUGAGCUUAUUCUCACCUCAUUCUUACAUGAACUAAAUCCAGAAUAAAGCAUCAUUUAUAUACCAAGCACAUCCCUACCUCAGCCACUCACGGAAUACUUUAUCUGUAAAGGGACAGAUAGUAAAUAUUUUUGGCUUUGGGGACCGUACAGUCUGGGUCGCCACUACUCAGCACUUCUGUUGAGGUGUGGAAUCAGCCCUAGACAACACAUAAACAAAUGGGUGUGGCUGUGUUCCAAUAAAAUGUUAUUUAUAAAACUAGGAAAUCAGCAGAUUUAGCCCACAGGCUGUAGUUUGCUGACCCUUGAAUUAGAGUCUUCCCCAAAUCCUCUUCCCAAGUUAUUGAAAGAAUGCCCACAGGACCAUGGCUCCCUCACCUGGUUCUUUCAAGAAAUGAGACAAAUUCAUGGAUGGUUGGAGGGGGGAACGCCUACCUGUGACAUGACUAUUGAGCCUGAUUUCUUUCCUUUUAUCUCUUUAAAGUGAGUCAGGUCUUAACUUUAAACUAUCUCUAAAGUAGCAAUAACUGGGCCAUGUCAAAUACUCCCAAUGACAAAAUUUCUUCUUGGAGAAUGGAUGAGGGUUGCAUACAGCGGUGUGUUGCUAAGUGUUUAGCGACUGGCUCUCUUACUGAUUUCUGUAGCGUAAAUUCUCCCAUCCUGGCCAUCUGGAACUACCAAUAUGAUGUCACUUAAUGUAGAGUUGGGAAAAGACAGUCUCUUGAAUCAGUAUGAGCUGGUUCCCGCCCACUGCUGAACACAUAUUUAAAAGCUACAAUAGCUCUGCUCACUGCCAUUGCAGAGUCUGGAGGAAAGAGUGGUGGGCUUGAUAGGACCAAUUGGCUGGAUAAUCUUUUGCAAUGCCAAUAAAUAAUGAAAAAGCAUGUAAAUAUAAUGCUGUAUAGAAAGCUCUCAAGUUCAGUGUUUGGUUAAAAUACAUACUCAGUAAAUGGUAGCUAUUAUCGUCUUAGUUUAAGUUAUUGCAAGCACUAAAAUUAAAUGUUCAGCUACAGACUCAA